CUGUUGCUUCCUGAGACCAGGGACACAAGACUGUUUUCUGAACGCCUCCGGCUGGCCCGCCUCACUCCAGAGCUGGACUCCCAGCCAUGAGGACCCUCACCCUCCUCGCUGCCAUCCUCCUGCUGGCCCUGCAGGCCCAGGCUGAGCCUCUCCCAGGAAGAGCUGACCACAUUGAGGAAGAGGAGCAGGUUGCAGUUAUCUUUCCUGGGGAGGAAAGCUCCGCUCUUCAAGAUGCAGGUGUAUGGAGAAGUAAGGCCUGCCGAUGCAGACUAUUCUGUCGUGGAAGGGAAAUUCUUACAGGAUUCUGCAACAAU